rnacentral:rRNA from 1 species
UGAGGAAUAUUGGUCAAUGGGCGAGAGCCUGAACCAGCCAAGUAGCGUGCAGGACGACGGCCCUAUGGGUUGUAAACUGCUUUUGCGCGGGGAUAAAGUGCGCCACGUGUGGCUCAUUGCAGGUACCGCGCGAAUAAGGACCGGCUAAUUCCGUGCCAGCAGCCGCGGUAAUACGGAAGGUCCGGGCGUUAUCCGGAUUCAUUGGGUUUAAAGGGAGCGCAGGCCGCCCCUUAAGCGUGUUGUGAAAUGCCGCGGCUCAACCGUGGCACUGCAGCGCGAACUGGGGGGCUUGAGUGCGCACAACGUUGGCGGAAUUCGUCGUGUAGCGGUGAAAUGCUUAGAUAUGACGAAGAACUCCGAUUGCGAAGGCAGCUGACGGGAGCGUUACUGACGCUUAAGCUCGAAAGUGCGGGUAUCGAACAGGAUUAGAUACCCUGGUAGU